CUACGUGCCAGCAGCCGCGGUAAUACGUAGGUCCCGAGCGUUGUCCGGAUUUAUUGGGCGUAAAGCGAGCGCAGGCGGUUAGAUAAGUYUGAAGUUAAAGGCUGUGGCUUAACCAUAGUACGCUUUGGAAACUGUUUAACUUGAGUGCAAGAGGGGAGAGUGGAAUUCCAUGUGUAGCGGUGAAAUGCGUAGAUAUAUGGAGGAACACCAGUGGCGAAGGCGGCUUGCUAGCCAAAGACUGACGCUCAUGCACGAAAGCGUGGGGAGCAAAUAGGAUUAGAUACCCUAGUAGUCCACGCCGUAAACGAUGAAUACUAAGUAUUGGGGAAACUCAGUGCUGCAGCUAACGCAAUAAGUAUUCCGCCUGUGGAGUAUGCACGCAAGUGUGAAACAUAAAGGAAUUGACGGGGGCCCGCACAAGCGGUGGAGUAUGUGGUUUAAUUCGACGCAACGCGAAGAACCUUACCAGGCCUUGACAUCCCUUGCAAAGCUGUAGAGAUA
rnacentral:rRNA from 1 species